AUGGCCACAUUACGUUGAAACAUCGGUUCUCGUGCGAUCACUAAAGUUAAGCGACGUCGAAUCUGAUCAGUACUUAUAGGGUGACCACUUGGGAAUACCAGAUGCAGUAA